AACGAACGCUGGCGGCAGGCUUAACACAUGCAAGUCGAACGGACGUAGCAAUACGUUAGUGGCAGACGGGCGAGUAACGCGUGGGAAUAUGCCCUUUAGUUCGGAAUAACACAGAGAAAUUUGUGCUAAUACCGGAUAAUCCCGAGAGGGGAAAGAUUUAUCGCUGAAGGAGUAGCCCGCGUCUGAUUAGCUAGUUGGUGAGGUAAUGGCUCACCAAGGCGACGAUCAGUAGCUGGUCUGAGAGGAUGAUCAGCCACACUGGGACUGAGACACGGCCCAGACUCCUACGGGAGGCAGCAGUGGGGAAUAUUGGACAAUGGGGGCAACCCUGAUCCAGCCAUGCCGCGUGAGUGAUGAAGGCCUUAGGGUUGUAAAACUCUUUUGUCCGGGAAGAUAAUGACUGUACCGGAAGAAUAAGCCCCGGCUAACUUCGUGCCAGCCGCCGCAGUAA
rnacentral:rRNA from 1 species